UGGGGAAUCUUGGACAAUGGGCGCAAGCCUGAUCCAGCCAUGCCGCGUGAGUGACGAAGGCCUUAGGGUUGUAAAGCUCUUUUGGCGGGGACGAUAAUGACGGUACCCGCAGAAUAAGCCCCGGCUAGCUUCGUGCCAGCAGCCGCGGUAAUACGAAGGGGGCUAGCGUUGUUCGGAAUUACUGGGCGUAAAGCGCACGUAGGCGGAUUUGUCAGUCAGGGGUGAAAUCCCGAGGCUCAACCUCGGAACUGCCUCCGAUACAGCAAGUCUCGAGUCCGGAAGAGGUGAGUGGAAUUCCUAGUGUAGAGGUGAAAUUCGUAGAUAUUAGGAAGAACACCAGUGGCGAAGGCGGCUCACUGGUCCGGUACUGACGCUGAGGUGCGAAAGCGUGGGGAGCAAACAGGAUUAGAUACCCCGGUAGUCCCUGAGCGGGCUGGCAAGGCGCAU
rnacentral:rRNA from 1 species